AGAAGGAGCGCGGCAUUCGGCAUCUCGAAAGGGGUGUCGAACCGCAGGUGACGCGCUUCUCGAUCGGUUUCCUACACUGGGAAGUGGUUGCGAACCAUUAAAGCAAAAGCCGUCACCCCUGGUCGAGCGCAACGACUUAACACUGCGGGCGCAAGCCAACGCAGUCGGUUGAUUCUGCAAGGAGUCACCGUUGAUCUCGGAGGAUUCGGAGGGCGUAAGCUGCCCUAGCCGGACGCAAAGCGGACGGGUCCGAUGAGGUCGAAAGCAAGAUCAGCAGGGAUGAAAUGCCACAUCUUAAAAAAGGCAGUCGUGCUGGAUACGCCGCAGUGAGAGCCGCGAGCGUGGACAAAGCGGGAACACCGGCUAGCUGCCGGGAGAUAUCCGCGCAAAGGCCAGCGAUGACGGCAUAGUCUCAGCCC
rnacentral:ncRNA from 1 species